UCUGCCUGUCUGGAUUUUGCACCCUGUGGCAGAACAAUUGGCCAGGUGCUCAUUUCUCGGAAGGUCUCACCCGAAGACUUGGCUGGGGCAGCUUAGAACACGUGUGGCAGGGCCCUGCUGAGGUGCUGACCCUCCCCCUUCACGCUGGACCCAGCCAGAGGGAGAUGGAGCCCAGAGGACCCAGAGCUGGCCUGAGAAGCAGACGUCCAUGCGGAUGGAGGGGAAUGUCCGGUUGGGGUCUCCACAGCUGCUCUUAUAAUGUAAGUUCCAUGAUCAUGGAGACCACGCCUGUCAACAUCCAUGUUUUCUCUGCUCAGCCAAGGUCUCAACCAUGAACAUCAGCAACUAGAUGACCUCUAGUCUCUGGAAAGCCCGGUUCUCAGCUUUGUCCGCACCUGUGGCUGUGCCAUUUUACACUCCUAUUCACAAUAUAUCUACAAAGUCUCUAGGACUUCUUAACUUGGACCAGGAAAGACUGGCUCUGAAUCUCUUCCUGGCGUCCUGACUGAUACCCUCUUCUCAGUGCUGAGUUCAGAAUCUUGAUGGCUCAAGCUGUGCUUGAGGGUGCUCCAGAUGCAGCCCUCUACAUCGGGAGCCACCUGGACCCUGCAGCCAAACCGCUCAACCAAAAGCUCCCUCUGCUGCUCCCCAGGUCCUUAGCCAAGAGCCCAGACAGACCCUAAGGAAAAUGUGACGCUGGCUGAUCCUCUAAUGAAAGAGUCAGCCAAGGAGACUGGUGGGCAUGCGGGGUCUUGGUUCCCUGACCAGGGAUUGAACCUGCACCCCCUGCAGUGGAAGUGCGGAGUCUUGACCACUGGACCUCCAGGGAAGUCCCGCAAAUUAUUUACUCCUUCUUUGCUUCUCAGUUCCUCUGUAAGAUGAUGGUAAUAAUUUUACCUACAUCAUAGGACUACAUGAGAAUUGUGAGAUAAUGGAUAUAAAGUGUCAUGUAUGGUACCAGGCACAUAGUAGAUGUUCAAUAAA